GAUGAACGCUAGCGGCAGGCCUAAUACAUGCAAGUCGAACGGUGUCUUCGGACAUAGUGGCGCACGGGUGCGUAACACGUAUGCAACCUACCUUACAUUGGGGGAUAGCCUUUCGAAAGGGAGAUUAAUACCGCAUAAGACAGUAGCUGGGCAUCCAGCAGCUGUUAAAGAUUUAUCGAUGUAAGCUGUGCAUGCGUCCAAUUAGCUAGUUGGUGAGGCAACGGCUCACCAAGGCAAUGAUUGGUAGGGGAACUGAGAGGUCAAUCCCCCACACUGGCACUGAGAUACGGGCCAGACGCCUACGGGAGGCAGCAGUAGGGAAUAUUGGGCAAUGGACGCAAGUCUGACCCAGCCAUGCCGCGUGCAGGAUGAAGGCGUUAUGCGUUGUAAACUGCUUUUAUACAGGAAGAAACGACUCUUGCGAGAGGCAUUGACGGUACUGUAUGAAUAAGCACCGGCUAACUCCGUGCCAGCCGCCGCGGUAACAC
rnacentral:rRNA from 1 species